GCGUCCGGCCCCGCCCCCGGACCGCAGAGCCAAUCGCAGGGCCGGCGGAGCCUCGGGGCGGGGCCAGCGCUCGGGAAAGCCCAAGUUACCAGCCCCAGAGCAGAUCCCUGCUGACCUCCAGCCCUGAAGAAGCCGGAGAACCUCUGCUUCCCCCACCUCCCCGUCCGCCUUGUCCUACUUCAGUAGUUUGGUCCUGGACACCCACGAACCAUAGUUCACGGAUUCCCUCGACAGCAGAAUUCUGCCAAUAAAGCGUACCUGUGUGAAAUUUGGAAGGCGGGAAGGAGGCGGAAGCCAUGCUUUUCUCCUCUGCAGCAGCAGACAUGCAGGCUGAAUGUUGGAGUCCAUACUCCCCACCAGUCAGGCCUGGGGCCAUGGGGCUGUAGUGACCCCAGCAGUGGCUUCCCGAAGUUUCCUGACUGAGUGGCAGCAGCAACUUUGAAUCUAUGGAAAGCAACUGUGGUAAAGUAACCUGAGAGCUAGUGGUGCGAUUCCCCCCCGGCCCUGACCUUCACCACCGCGAGCCCCACCAGUGAUCACUCACUCUGGAGGCACCCAGCCAUCAUGCUGUGAGGACAUUCAGUCAAACAGCAUGUGGGCAGGCUCAUAUGGCAAGGAUCUGAGGCCUCCCUCCAACCCCCUUGACAGCCAUGUUAAGUGAGUGAACCACCUUGGAAGUGGACCCUUCCGACUCAGUCAAGCCUUCAGAUGACUGCAGCCCUGUGGUAUCUUGAGAAUCUCACCAAAGACCCAGGGGCAGAAGUGCCCAAGCUAUUCCCGAAAUUUUGACUCAAAACUUUUGAGGAAUGGGGCACCUGGGUGGCUCAGUUGGUCGAGCGUCUGACUUUGGCUCAGGUCAUGGUCUCACCAUUCAUGGCUUCGGGCCCCGCAUUGGGCUCUGUGCUGACAGCUCAGAGCCUGGAGCCU